rnacentral:rRNA from 1 species
AACGAACGCUGGCGGCACGCCUAACACAUGCAAGUCGAGCGAGACCUUCGGGUCUAGCGGCGGACGGGUUAGUAACGCGUGGGAACGUACCCUUUUCUACGGAAUAGCCUCGGGAAACUGGGAGUAAUACCGUAUACGCCCUUUUGGGGAAAGAUUUAUCGGUGAAGGAUCGGCCCGCGUUAGAUUAGAUAGUUGGUGGGGUAAUGGCCUACCAAGUCUGCGAUCUAUAGCUGGUUUGAGAGGAUGAUCAGCAACACUGGGACUGAGACACGGCCCAGACUCCUACGGGAGGCAGCAGUGGGGAAUCUUAGACAAUGGGCGCAAGCCUGAUCUAGCGAUGCCGCGUGUGUGACGAAGGCCUUAGGGUCGUAAAGCACUUUCGCCAGGGAUGAUAAUGACAGUAC